GUGACGGUAAUGGGUAAAGAAGCACCGGCUAACUACGUGCCAGCAGCCGCGGUGAUACGUAGGGUGCGAGCGUUGUCCGGAUUUAUUGGGCGUAAAGGGCUCGUAGGUGGUUGAUCGCGUCGGAAGUGUAAUCUUGGGGCUUAACCCUGAGCGUGCUUUCGAUACGGGUUGACUUGAGGAAGGUAGGGGAGAAUGGAAUUCCUGGUGGAGCGGUGGAAUGCGCAGAUAUCAGGAGGAACACCAGUGGCGAAGGCGGUUCUCUGGGCCUCUCCUGACGCUGAGGAGCGAAAGCGUGGGGAGCGAACAGGCUUAGAUACCCUGGUAGUCCACGCUGUAAACGGUGGGUACUAGGUGUGGGGUCCAUUCCACGGGUUCCGUGCCGUAGCUAACGCUUUAAGUACCCCGCCUGGGGAGUACGGCCGCAAGGCUAAAACUCAAAGGAAUUGACGGGGCCCCGCACAAGCGGCGGAGCAUGCGGAUUAAUUCGAUGCAACGCGUAGAACCUUACCUGGGUUUGACAUGGAUCGGGAGUGCUCAGAGAUGGGUGUGCCUCUUUUGGGGUCGGUUCACAGGUGGUGCAUGGCCGUCGUCAGCUCGUGUCGUGAGAUGUUGGGUUAAGUCCCGCAACGAGCGCAACCCUUGUUCACUGUUGCCAGCACGUUAUGGUGGGGACUCAGUGGAGACCGCCGGGGUCAACUCGGAGGAAGGUGGGGAUGACGUCAAGUCAUCAUGCCCCUUAUGUCCAGGGCUUCACGCAUGCUACAAUGGCUGGUACAGAGAGUGGCGAGCCUGUGAGGGUGAGCGAAUCUCGGAAAGCCGGUCUCAGUUCGGAUUGGGGUCUGCAACUCGACCUCAUGAAGUCGGAGUCGCUAGUAAUCGCAGAUCAGCAACGCUGCGGUGAAUACGUUCCCGGGGCUUGCACACACCGCCCGU
rnacentral:rRNA from 1 species